rnacentral:misc_RNA from 1 species
AAGUCGUAACAAGGUUUCCGUAGGUGAACCUGCGGAAGGAUCAGCAACACCCCCGUGAACUUUCAGCUUGCUCCUGUAGCGUGAACAGCAAUCCCUGGUAAAUCAUUGUUGACCAGCUUUUGAGUCAUAUUGUGAUAUUUUAUAGCUACGGUUGAGCGAUUGCAUCUAGUGACCAAGUAAUCAGUGUCAUUGAUUAUGUAAGGAUGGCGCAGUCACGAUCGCUGUAGGCACACACGGGCUGCCCCUUUACGACAACACAGGCACGGCACCAAAAACCGAACAACUGUUAACAAUGGAUAUCUC